rnacentral:rRNA from 1 species
UACGUAGGGUGCAGCGUAAUCGGAAUUACUGGGCGUAAAGCGUGCGCAGGCGGUGAUGUAAGACCGAUGUGAAAUCCCCGGGCUUAACCUGGGAACUGCAUUGGUGACUGCAUUGCUGGAGUACGGUAGAGGGGAUGGAAUUCCGCGUGUAGCAGUGAAAUGCGUAGACAUGCGGAGGAACACCGAUGGCGAAGGCAAUCCCCUGGACCUGUACUGACGCUCAUGCACGAAAGCGUGGGGAGCAAACAGG